rnacentral:snoRNA from 1 species
GAUGAUCCAAGCAAAUCACGCAUAGUUCACACUGAAACGAUCGUGUUGACAACCAUGCAUCUAAUGUCUUUCGCUCCUAUCUGA